UUGAGCAAACUAUGCUCAAGUGUUCGACCAGCUGUGAUUUUCUUAAUUGAAACAAAACAGCAAUAGGGAUACAUGUGAAAUCUCCAACGAUGAUUGGUGGAUGUUACUAUCAAUGCCUCUUUUAUUGUUUCCUCUUUACGUUUGACCUUUAUCUAUGGUUAUCUGAAAACAAAACUUUGGCCUGCACUUUGGCGGGAAUUAAUUCAACUAAGCCACUUUGUAUCCACCUCUUGGCUUUGUUUAGGGGAUUUUAAUGAAAUUCUAUCUGUCCUAGAUUCUCAUGGUCCAAUAAACGUCAAGGAAAUAAUCUCAUCAUGGCCAACAUCGAUAAGGUGUUCGGUAAUGCUGCUUUUCUUCGGGAUCAAGGCCUCACAGCUGUAUAUCAGCAUGCCAUGGUGGCUUCUAACUACACUCCAAUUUCGGUGAGAUUUCUAUCCUACUCUAAACCCAAGCAUAAGUAGUUUUAUUUUGAAUAAAAAUGGGUGAGGGAUUCAGAAUUAAGCCAAGCUUGUCCCAAGCUUGGAAUGCCUCUUUUUUUGGAUCGGCUUCUUACCAAUUAUUUCAAAAGCUUAAAACUUAUGGGUUUAAACUUCGGGUUUGGAGUUCACAUACUUUUAAGGAUGGGCAGAAGGAAUUGGAAUGCUUAACUCAAGAGCUUGAGAAAAUCCAGCAACAUCCCCAACGUAUAUCCCUCCAAAAUGAGGAAACCAACUCUAAGGUCAACUUGGGGUUAUCCUGAAUCAAGAGGAGCAUCAUUGGGCCCAAAGAUCUUGGGUCUAAUGGCUGAAAGAGGGAGAUAGGAAUACUGGCUUUUUUCACCUAUCUGUAGUGAGGCGUUGGCAGUUUAAUAACAUUUCUAGAUUUCGGAAUUGUAAUGGAGAUUGGAUAUCAACAAACUCAGGAAUGUCUCAAC